AUAAUAAAAAAUAAUACAUCGUUAAGGAAAUCCUCUCUCCUAAGUUGGGGGAUAGGAGUGGGAAUGAAAGGCAUUAUUUGCAUCUAGUUUGUUCGCAUUUCGGGAUAAAUGUGUAUGUAUAACUGAAAAUAAGUUGGUUAUUAGUUCUACUUUUGAUGAAGAACUGAAGAAAAUGUUGUUUUUCUUGUGAGGAUCUCCUACAGAAAAAAGGAAUUGGAAUGAAGAUAACUCAACAAUUUGUUUCGAUAAAACUCAUCGAGUGCUUCAUUUGCAGAGUGCAAUGGAAAAUGGAACUGCACAUAAUCAGAAUGUUGGAGGAGUUCCAUUUGUUGGUAUGGGUGGUAUAGGAAAUUUAACGACCUUUUAUUAUUUGAAAGUUAAAGGUGUAAGAGUUGCCGUUUGUCAUCACAUCAGAAGAAUAUCAUGAAGGUUCCGUAGAAUAAGGAACUGGAUGAGCAACAUUCAAACACCAAUAUACUUAGGAGGCAUAGCACUAGAAAAUGGCUGCAACAAUAUUUUGGCAGUAUCUCCACCGGAGUUUGGACACAUGUAGGCAUAUGAACCAACACCUAUGCGUUUAUCUUUCAGAUGACAAAAUUCUAUUGAAGAUUUGGAAGGAUAGCCUUUCCCACCAAUAAAGGGAGUUUUGGUCUUUGGCAUCUAACUACGAAGCAUAUCGAGUUCUGUAGGUUAGUGCAAGCAUACAUGCUUUUCCAGGAUCAUGAUAGAACUGCGGCGGAAUCAGCAAUAGGAUUCCCAAAGCAAGACAUUUUCUAGCUACUAAAUUUGAAGAUAAUGCGACUUUUAUAUACACUUUUUUUCUAUAGAAAAUGCACAGAAAUUUUUUUUAUGUCAAGUUUGAGUUGGGGAAUACCUCAAUCGCCAAGAGAGAAGUUAUGUAUGCCUGUGUGUAAACUCCAAAUUUUUUUGUAUAUAUGUUUCUGUGACUCAA